UACAGAGGUCCCAAGCGUUGUUCGGAUUCAUUGGGCGUAAAGGGUGUGUAGGUGGCGCCGUAAGUCGGGUGUGAAAUUUCGGGGCUUAACUCCGAAACUGCAUUUGAUACUGGCGUGCUUGAGGACUGGAGAGGAGACUGGAAUUCAUGGUGUAGCGGUGAAAUGCGCAGAUAUCGGGAGGAACACCGGUGGCGAAGGCGGUUCUCUGGGCCUUACCUGACGCUGAGACGCGAAAGCUAGGGGAGCGAACAGG
rnacentral:rRNA from 1 species